AUACGGAGGGUGCAAGCGUUAUCCGGAAUCAUUGGGUUUAAAGGGUCCGCAGGCGGAUUAAUAAGUCAGUGGUGAAAUCCUCUCGCUCAACGAGAGAACUGCCAUUGAAACUGCUAGUCUUGAAUUCGGUCGAAGUAGGCGGAAUGUGUCAUGUAGCGGUGAAAUGCAUAGAUAUGACACAGAACACCGAUAGCGAAGGCAGCUUACUAGACCUGGAUUGACGCUCAUGGACGAAAGCGUGGGGAGCGAACAGGAUUAGAAACCCCAGUAGUCC
rnacentral:rRNA from 1 species